rnacentral:rRNA from 1 species
AUGCACUCCAAGAAGGAUUGUCCAUUGCUGUCGGCUGGCGUCAAGUUCGUUCCCAUGGAUCAGGAGCUGAUCGAGCACCUUGAGGCCAAAGUGAGUGCUGACAGUGCAAGAUCUCACCCUCUCAUCGAUUUGUCCAUACCCACCAUCGACAGCGAGCACGGCCUAUGCUACACCCAUCCUAAGAAACUUCCAGGUAUCACACUGAGUGGCCUAAGCAAGCAUUUCUUCCAACGCAAUUCCAGGGCGUUCAAAAGGGGCACGUGGACACGUCGCAAGAUACAGUCGGAGUGCGGCAUGCACGCGAUGUGGCACAAUACCGGCAAUACCUUGCCGGUGAUGGUCAACGGCCGGCAGACGGGCAGCAAAAAUGUUCUGGUGCUGCACACCAACAAGAACUUCGACCAGCAGAGGACCCACUGGGUGAUGCACCAGUACCACCUCGGGGACCUGGAGCAAGAGAAGGAGCGGGAGCUGGUCCUCUGCAUUAUUUUCUACCAGACGAAUACUAGGGCCAGGAGUAAAAAGAUUAUAAGUUCGUUUGGAAUUGGUACUUGUACUACCUUGUCGUCCGCAAGUUGGUCGAGCAAGUUUCAACAGGUCUGUAGACUGCCCAGGUUUGGUUUUGUUUUUAACAGGCCCAGCCCACGACGACAACAGGGCACGAAGAUCCAGCAGUUUUACUAG